GGCCUCCUGGCGGAACUGGUAGACGCGCACGGCUCAGACCCGUGUGUCCGCAAGGACGUAAGGGUUCAACUCCCUUGGAGGCCAC
rnacentral:tRNA from 1 species